GGAGGAUGUGGUGGUGAUGGAGGCAGAGCUGUGAAGAACUGAGAGGCUAUUAGAAAACCGCGGUGGAACAGUGGCUGGGGAAAAGGAUUGUAUUUGCUGGGGCUGCUAUUAAAAAGUACCGUGAACUGAGUGGCUUAAACACCAGAAAUUAUUCUCUCACAGUUCUGGAGGACUAAAGUCCAAAAUCAAGCUGUGGGCAGGGUGGGUUUCCCUGAGAGCUGCAAGUGAAGGAUCUGUUCCAGGCCUCUCUCCUUGGCUGACAGAGUCUCACACUGUCGCCCAGGCUGGAGUGCAAUGGCACAAUCUCGGCUCACUACAACCUCUGCCUCCCAGGUUCAAGCGAUUCUCCUGCCUCAGCCUCCCAUCUUCAAAUAUUUUUGUACCCUUAUCUUAUUUUUUCAGGAACUCCAGUUUCACAAAUAUUAGCCCAAGUGAAAUUGGCCCACAGAUCACUGAUCCUCUGUUCAUUAAAAAAAAAAUAAAAGUCUCUGUGAUGGUUG
rnacentral:lncRNA from 10 species